UUAUAUGUUUUGGCCCAUCGGCCGACAUAUUAUAAAACUUAAUAUUAAAGACAUUAAAUCUAUUGAGAGAAAUCUCCCCUUAAACAAAGACUCUUUAAUGACUACAUUUGGAUGUUAUUGUGUUAUGGUAUGAGAAGGGGGUGUUCAAUUUAUAGAGUUCCAAAACUUUCCUCUAAGAAAGAGGUUUGCCAAAUAUGAAAAAGUUUUAUACUUUUCUUUCAAGAAAAGUAAAAGUAUUUAUAGUUACUUUAAUUUUUCUUCUAAGAAAAAGUAAAACUUAAAUAUAGUAAGAAAAUCAGGGCAAAAACCUUAACAAAUCUCCCCUUUUUGGCUUGAUUUUCUUCAAAAUAUUCUUGAUCCUAGCUUUUGAACAUAUAUCUUUAUUAUCAUGGCUUGAUUUUCUUCAAAAUAUUCUUGAUCCUAGCUUUUGAACAUAUAUCUUUAUUAUCAUCAAAUUGGUUGCAGCUUGAUUUUGAAAUCUCUUUGAACCUGUUUAAUCUCGUCUUACCACACCAUUGGACCAUUGAAUCGUAAACUCUGAUACCACUUGUUGGGUUCGAAAUCGAGAGGACGUCAUGUGGAAGCUUAAAGUUGCAAACUAUGAGACGAUAAAUAAGACGACAAAGAAAACAAUACUAAAAAACAUAAAAUUAUUAUAUGUUUUGGUCAAUCGGCCUACAUAUUAUAAAACCUAAUAUCAAAAAUAUUAAACCUAUUGGAGAAAUCUCUCCCUAAACAAAGACUCUAUGAAUACAUU
rnacentral:lncRNA from 1 species